GAUGAACGCUGGCGGCGUGCUUAACACAUGCAAGUCGAACGAAAGGUUCUGAAUUCUUCGGAGCUAAGAGCUGGAAGUGGCGAACGGGUGAGUAAUACGUUGGUGACCUGCCCUGAGGUGGGGGACAACCGUGGGAAACUACGGCUAAUACCCCAGAUAUCUAAGAUGCUAGAGGUCUUAGAUUAAAGCUUCGGUACCUCGGGAGGGGCCAGCGGGCUAUCAGCUAGUUGGUGAGGUAANGGCUCACCAAGGCAAAGACGGCUAGGGGGCGGUGAGAGCGCGACCCC
rnacentral:rRNA from 1 species